CCGCAGAACGAAUAAUGUUAUAUUUAUGUCAGUUGAGACACAAAAAGAAACAAGGAGAGCAAACUGUAAGCCAAUGAUCUUCUAGGCUUCAGUUUUUGAUGAUCUUCUAGGCUUCAGUUUUUGAUGCGCACUUACUUGAAUACACAAUAGGAAAGUUAAUGCAUACCAGCUGUAUAACAGGAAAUAUGACCAUACAUAUAUACAUAAUAUAUAACCGACUAUAUCAAGUGGAGGGAGUCAACCUGAAGCUUGGAUCGAACAAGUUAGAACUGAGAAGCAGCUGGAGGUUUAGUUAAAACGUUAAAACAUCAGCUAGAUGAUCCUAAGAAGCCAUUGCAAAGUGGCUGUAGAGGGAACAUGAGUGACCAUAUAUAUAGGCAGCCGGGUAUUCAGAUUGAUUGAAGCGUUGAGCGAAAAAUUGAGCUGUGUGAUUGAACCUAUUGCACAGAUGACAUCGGAUGCUUCUCUGGUUCUGACCAUUAGGGGACCACUAAUUAUUAGAGCACGAAUUGUUGGUAUUCCAGGCUGUCCCUGGUUGAUGAUAAGAGGAGCGAAAAUUGCCAUGGUUCCUAUCCCUUCAUACAUGGUUCCUGCUUUUGUUAUUCCCAAGGGCUUGGCGAUGUAAAGGCUUGGGUGGGCUCUAGUAAAGAUCAAGAUUUUAUCAAUAUUUUUUAAUUAAUUUUAUAUAAAAAAGGUUUGUAAUUCUUGAUUGAAUUAUCAAAAUGUUCUGAAAAUUUACAUUGAGCCUUUUAAUAUGAUACUUUAGCUUAGUUUAAAAUUUCAAAAUUUUUAAAAAAAUUCAGAAAUUUGAUAAAAAAUCAUAAUUUUGCC
rnacentral:lncRNA from 1 species